rnacentral:rRNA from 1 species
UACGUAGGGUGCAAGCGUUGUCCGGAAUUAUUGGGCGUAAAGAGCUCGUAGGCGGUCUGUCGCGUCUGCUGUGAAAACUCGGGGCUUAACCCCGGGCCUGCAGUGGGUACGGGCAGACUAGAGUGCGGUAGGGGAGACUGGAAUUCCUGGUGUAGCGGUGAAAUGCGUAGAUAUCAGGAGGAACACCAAUGGCGAAGGCAGCUCGCUGGGACGGUACUGACGCUGAGGCGCGAAAGCGUGGGGAGCAAACAGG